GGUCCUGCCUUCAAUGAUCGUGGUGAGUGUAUUGGUGUGGCAUUCCAAAUAUUCCUUCUGCUAAAUCUGCCUUUUAUUUUCCCUACUUUAUCUAUUCCAAACUUUUCAAAAAUCUUUUAUAGAUUAACUUUGUCCCAGAAUAAUGUUUAAUAGAAAUGCAUCUGAGUACUAUUUAAUGGAAAAGGAGAGUAGGCAGCUGCUUUCCAGGUGUUGUUGUCACCAGUGGAAUCUUCUGCAACUCGAGCCAUUUCUAGGGUUUCAGAUUGGGAGUUUGCUCGGCGCUCGCCCCAUACGAGUGCAGUCAAGGUGUUUGCUUUCGAUCUUGAGAGAAGGAUUUGUAACAUAAAACUAUGGAAAUAAUGCUUUUUUUUGUUUUUGAAAAAAAAUAUGAAGAACUGCUAUUCAAAAGCUGGCAUUUUGCUACGAGUGGUUGGCCAACAGCUCAAAGCUUGCCUGAAAUAAUAUAACUCCCUUUCAUGUUUUGCCACUACUGUUACCUCUGAAAUGCAAAAACAGUAUUAGUACUAUCACUCAUUUGCAAAUUGCCAGAGUUUUUUUUAGUAUCAUCUUAAUUUGACUAUCUUGCAAGUUAAGAGUUGAUCAUGAGAAAAUUUUGAUAAUGUGUUGAAGGGAGCAUCAGUAGAAGAUGGUAGGAGUAUUGCAGUUCUUCGAUUUCGGUCAAACCAGCUCCUCCCGUAAGUUGCUGGCACUCAAUCGACACAAUAGUGGUCUUGAACCUCCUAGAAAUAGCUUAGAGGUUCCUCCUAUGAAUACUUAUCAUAAUUUUCAACUGGUUCAUGAAGACAUUCAAGUAAGUUGUUGGGUUUAAGAAUUGUUCUUCAGAGUAUUCAUGGCUUCUUUAGGCAAGCAUUUCACUGAUUUAGCAAUAAGAGAGCCAAAAUUACUAUCAUUUGUGUAUAUCUGAACGUACAUGCUUCUGGUUAUGUUCUUGAUUUGGUACUUGAGAUUUGUCUUCGUUGAUUUAUGUGAAUCUUCUUGUGGGGAUUUAACAAGAACCGAGAACAAAAAUUGAUUCCCUUUUUAUAUUCACAUGAUUUCAGUGCUCAAGUUACUAUAAAGAGGACAUUUGCCAACAAUCUCACACCAAAAAAUUGAUUGCUGUUGAAAGGCUCCACAGAACAAAGGAUCAGCAUAAUAGACCCAGUGUUGUGGCUUGAUUAAUGGGAAUGGAGUCACUGCCUUCAGACACCAAGCCUACUAUACAUCAAUUCAUCAAUAAGUCUCUAUCAGCUUUGGGAGAUGUGAUCUCUGCUCUUGCCUCCAAGAACCCACAUAUUCCAUAUAGGAACUCUAAGCUAACACAUUUGCUCCAGAGCUCUCUAGGCUGUGUCCCUUGUUGCCACUCAAUUCCGAAGCAAUCUCUCAAAGUGUCUUGUCUUGACCAAUAGGUAAUUGUUCAUGUAAUUGAUAUUCAACAUUGCAUUUCUUAGAAUUGUCAUUGUGGUCGAGGACAAAUAGAGAGUAUUUUGAAUACAUCACUGAUGCUAAGUUGGGAGACCCUUCAAUUCACUACAAAUAGAGAGUAUUCGUGGAGAUUGUGAUGAGAUUUGGGUUGACAAUGAGAAUUUUUAGUUUGGUAACUUUAUUUAUGAUUUAUAUAUAUGACUAUUUACUUUAUUUUGGUAACUUCAUGAAGCUAAUGAUGGUGGACUUCUUGCCACUAUCAUGGCUGCUGGUUUCAAAGGUAUUGGUAUCAUAAUCCACUAAAUAUGCACUGUUGUUAUUUUCUUGUGAGAAGGUCAAUAAUUUAUCUAUCAGGUGAGCUUAACUGGUUUCAACCUGGAGUGAGAAUGGAGAUAUUUCGGCUUGAUGCUUGGUAUUUCAAGGAAGAUCUAUUGAUAAACCCUACUAAUUACAUAGUGAAAGGGCUUAAUUGUAGGUGUUGGCUACCAUAAAUUAUUCUUCGUUGUAUGCAGGUGUCAGUUUCUCUUGCUAAAACGGGCAAUUUAAAAGAUCAUCGUGAUGCACUUGUAGAAUUAGUUGCUUCUUCGGAAUAUGGAAUCCUUCAUUUGUUUAGUCAUCACCAGUUACAGGAAUUUUUAUUAAUUGAAAGGGAAUGCUCAUUACACGCAAUGGAGUACGAAGAAGAGUUGUCUGUCAUUAAUUCUCAACAAGAAUGAUGGUAAUUUUUGUUUACAAAUCUCAAGUACUCCAGAGUUGAAAUUGAUGAAGUGCGGUUCAAGUGGGC